rnacentral:rRNA from 1 species
CAGCCGCCGCGGUAAGACAGAGGAUGCAAGCGUUAUCCGGAAUGAUUGGGCGUAAAGCGUCUGUAGGUGGCUUUUCAAGUCCGCCGUCAAAUCCCAGGGCUCAACCCUGGACAGGCGGUGGAAACUACCAAGCUGGAGUACGGUAGGGGCAGGGGGAAUUUCCGGUGGAGCGGUGAAAUGCGUUGAGAUCGGAAAGAACACCAACGGCGAGAGCACUCUGCUGGGCCGACACUGACACUGAGAGACGAAAGCUAGGGGAGCAAAUGGGAUUAGAUAACCGCGUAGUCCCUGUCUCUUAUAA